rnacentral:rRNA from 1 species
UACGUAGGGUGCAAGCGUUGUCCGGAAUUACUGGGCGUAAAGCGUGCGCAGGCGGUUUUGUAAGCCAGAUGUGAAAUCCCCGGGCUUAACCUGGGAAUGGCAUUUGGGACUGCAAGGCUGGAGUGUGGCAGAGGAGACUGGAAUUCCCGGUGUAGCAGUGAAAUGCGUAGAUAUCGGGAGGAAUACCGAUGGCGAAGGCAGGUCUCUGGGCUGACACUGACGCUCAUGCACGAAAGCGUGGGGAGCAAACAGG